GUCUGCGGCCAUGCCACCCUGGACAAGCCCGAUCCCGUCCGGUCUCAGAAGCUAAGCAGGGUCGGGCCUGGUUAGUACUUGGAUGGGGGACCAGCUAGGAAGACCAGGUGCCGGAGUCA
rnacentral:rRNA from 1 species